rnacentral:lncRNA from 1 species
AGGAAGCUGGUCCAGUUGUCUUUCUGGUGCCCGAUGGUGAGCCUGGGGAGUGUGUUGCUAGAGUCUGGCAGGAAGGACGGUGCAAUCUGUGCUCAGUGAUGGCAAUGUCUCCCAAGUGCUAUUCCUGAGUUGUGGCGAAUUCAUCCAUGUGGUCUGUGACUGUUGGGCAACAAGUAAUGUCUUCCCUCGCAGGAUGAAAGCUUCUUUGCUAGAGAGACGACCGAGAACUAGAGAGAAGCACCUGCAGAUGUCCUUACACAGCUGGCCAGGGUCCAGAGCGGAGAAUUGGACCUGAAGAGACAAUGGUUCAUGUGAGCUGGUUCCAUCCAAGGCUGGGCAGAGCACCAGAUCUUCCUAGUUCUUAUGUUCCAUAGAUGAGAGAAAGAGAAGUCCCCAGCUCGAGUUCACGUUGCAUACAUGGGACAUCCAGCGUGCCCCAGAUCAGCGAAGAUCCAGAGAGUUUGAGUUUCUUUUGAUCAGCAAGGAUGAUUCUGAAAGGAAGGAGCCCACAGAAGCCUGAUUGCUGCACUUGUGUUUAAGGGAACUCUUGCACAUGGAAAAUAAGCCUGUCAGGAGAGGCCAGGUUAUUCUGGAGGAAUAAAUAAGCCCCAAUCUCAGCGGCUUACCACCACAAAGUUUAUUUCUACCCGGUGUCGAGGCCACUCUUGAGAGCAGCUGUGCCCUGCGCCGGACGCUGGUGCAGGCUGAUCUGAUCUUGUCAUUUCAACAGAAAUGUCUGUCUGACAGCAUCAACGGCAGUCUCCACCGUCCCUGCAGCACGGGAAGCGGAAGCGCGAGCCUGGCCUGAAAGGGAGGUGUAUUUGGCUAGAACGGAUCCCAUGGCCCUGCUCAACUUUGAAGGGCUGGAAGUAGAGUCUUCUGGGUGCCCCAGAGGAGAGGAGAAGGCCAGGAAACCUGGACUACCUGGUAACAGAUUCUGCAGAGAUUUCCGGGUGACUGAGUGGAGAGUGCAGACUCCAGGAGAUGUCAAGUGUUUUCCACAGUGGGCUGAGGAAGCCAGAGAAUUGGCAGGGAGAAGAGUAGAAGCUCUGAAGAAUGGAGCAUCUUGCCCACGUCCCCCCAACCAAUAA